AAUCACUUUGGCUUCUCCUCCUCCAUUCAGUAUCGAAUCAGUGAGUUCGGCUUCACCUUCUCCUCCAUUCAGUAUCGAAGCAGUGAGUUCGGCUUCACCUUCUCCUCCUCCAGUCAGUAUUGAAGCAGUGAGUUCGGCUUCUCCUUCUCACAAUCAUCGAUUUGGCUAGUUCUUUUGAGAUUUGAGUGGAUAAGAAGAACGAAUCACCUCAAACACAACAACAGCGAAUAGGAUUUAGCGGAUAGGAAGCUGUAAUGCAGAAUGAGGCCAAAGCAAUAUCUAUAGCAGAUUUGAAGAAAGACACUAGAUUAAAAGAAUGGACGCUGGUGCUAGUUUAGGAUUCCAAAUCUCGGAUCUGCAGACUCAACAUCUCUGUCUACGCACAGCUCCGAGAAGCUCCGUUCCAUGGGCCUUUGUCUUCUGAUGUGAGCUAUCCAAUCAUAAUGUGGCGGUCACCUUUAAUGGAUAAAUCAAUCUAGCUCAUUGAUCUACUCAGUGUGAUAUCAAAUGGAGAAACUAACGUUUCAGCUCUCAGAGUUUCCUUAUCCAGAUGGUCUGCAGUAACUAAGUAGGAGUUCCUUUUCAUAAUUUCUGAUUACUCCAUAUCCAGGUGGACCUGGAUUGCCCAAGUAGCAACUAUCAAUGUUGAGUUGUGGAGUUCUUGCUUUUUCUCAUUAAAUACUUUCAUUUCUCUUAUUCCAUAUGCCCGAAAUGAUUGCUGCUCUAUUCCAUAUGCCCUUCUGAUCCAGGUACCUGCACUUGAGUAAAUUGGUGACCCUCCAAGGAGCAUCAGGUGCUUUCUUACGCCUUCUCCUUGAUCAGUUACUCUAGAGGGGAGGCCAUCACAAGUAGUGCCAAAGCUUCAACAGGAGUGGUUUUCUGCAGUAUUGGCAAAUUGGCAACUUUGGAUACCUUUCUAAUUUCUCAACUUUCGAUUUGUUCCGCAACAGUUCCAGAUUGUAGAAGAAAGAGAAUGUAGAUGGUGUCAAGAUGAAAUACAUUUUUUCUUUUCUUAGAGUAGGAAGUGAAUUCUUUUUUGUAUUUUUUAUUCCAUAUUUUUUGUAGAUGGAUUGUUCUUUUCUCUUUGAAUUUGUAUCAAUCAAUAUGAAACAAUAUUCAGAAACAAUGAUUAUCUUUCAAUAGAUAUGUGAAUGAAUUGUUUUA